AGUAACGGCGAGUGAAGCGGCAACAGCUCAAAUUUGAAAUCUGGCUCUUUCAGAGUCCGAGUUGUAAUUUGCAGAGGGCGCUUUGGCGUUGGCAGCGGUCCAAGUUCCUUGGAACAGGACGUCACAGAGGGUGAGAAUCCCGUACGUGGUCGCUGGCCUUCGCCGUGUAAAGCCCCUUCGACGAGUCGAGUUGUUUGGGAAUGCAGCUCUAAAUGGGAGGUAAAUUUCUUCUAAAGCUAAAUACUGGCCAGAGACCGAUAGCGCACAAGUAGAGUGAUCGAAAGAUGAAAAGCACUUUGGAAAGAGAGUCAAAUAGCACGUGAAAUUGUUGAAAGGGAAGCGCUUGCAGCCAGACUUGCCUGUAGUUGCUCAUCCGGGCUUUUGCCCGGUGCACUCUUCUGUAGGCAGGCCAGCAUCAGUUUGGACGGUUGGAUAAAGGACUCUGUCACGUACCUCCUUUCGGGGAGGCCUUAUAGGGGAGUCGUCAUGCAACCAGUCUGGACUGAGGUCCGCGCAUCUGCUAGGAUGCUGGCGUAAUGGCUGUAAGCGGCCCGUCUUGAAACACGGACCAAGGAGUCUAACAUCUAUGCGAGUGUUUGGGUGUCAAGCCCGAGCGCGUAAUGAAAGUGAACGGAGGUGGGAUCCCGUAAGGGUGCACCAUCGACCGAUCCUGAUGUCUUCGGAUGGAUUUGAGUAAGAGCAUGGCUGUUGGGACCCGAAAGAUGGUGAACUAUGCUUGAAUAGGGUGAAGCCAGAGGAAACUCUGGUGGAGGCUCGCAGCGGUUCUGACGUGCAAAUCGAUCGUCAAAUUUGGGCAUAGGGGCGAAAGACUAAUCGAACUAUCUAGUAGCUGGUUCCUGCCGAAGUU
rnacentral:rRNA from 1 species